rnacentral:rRNA from 1 species
GAUGAACGCUGGCGGCGUGCCUAAUACAUGCAAGUCGAGCGAAUGGAUUAAGAGCUUGCUCUUAUGAAGUUAGCGGCGGACGGGUGAGUAACACGUGGGUAACCUGCCCAUAAGACUGGGAUAACUCCGGGAAACCGGGGCUAAUACCGGAUAACAUUUUGAACCGCAUGGUUCGUAAUUGAAAGGCGGCUUCGGCUGUCACUUAUGGAUGGACCCGCGACGCAUUAGCUAGUUGGUGAGGUAACGGCUCACCAAGGCAACGAUGCGUAGCCGACCUGGGAGGGUGAUCGGCCACACUGGGACUGAGACACGGCCCAGACUCCUACGGGAGGCAGCAGUAGGGAAUCUUCCGCAAUGGACGAAAGUCUGACGGAGCAACGCCGCGUGAGUGAUGAAGGCUUUCGGGUCGUAAAACUCUGUUGUUAGGGAAGAACAAGUGCUAGUUGAAUAAGCUGGCACCUUGACGGUACCUAACCAGAAAGCCACGGCUAACUACGUGCCAGCCGCCGCGGUAA